ACUGUAAUGCCAGCGUGGACGGUUCCAACUCCGUGAAAAGGCAGAGGACAGG
ncrna:unclassified sequences type-P1 twister ribozyme